GCGUGCUCAGUGACCUUUCCGAGUCAUCAGCUGUGAGUUAGGGCUAGCUGAGCCGCUAGUUCUUCGCCGAGAUGCUUCAAAGCUUUAUUAAGAAUGUUUGGAUCCCCAUGAAGCCCUACUAUACCCAAGUUUACCAGGAGAUUUGGGUAGGAACGGGGCUGAUGGCUUUUAUCGUUUAUAAGAUCAGGAGUGCUGAUAAAAGAAGUAAAGCCUUGAAAGCUUCCAGUCCUGCGCCUGCUCACGGGCAUCAUUAACGAGCUCUCCUUGGAUGGGACAUCGGUCUGGCUGUGCUGUGGGAACGUGGGACAUCGUGUUGACUUGCAGCAGUGCCCCUGCCCUUGGACAUGAAUAAACGUACCUGUGAGACGCAUGCUGCCUGCGCCGUGUCUCUCCCUCCGCCCCGCGCCUGCCGCACUCCGAGUAGGUCUGCGCGCGCCAGGUGCAGCCAGAGUCUCGCCGAGCUGCCCUGUCCUUAGGAGAUCCAAGGGGCUGAGGAGCGAACACCUCCAUUAGCGCAGGGGUGGAGGGCAGAUCGAGGCUUCACACUGUGAAGGUCAGUAAAUGUUAAGCAGUCGAUUCUGCUACUUAACUCCCGUGACCUCCCUGAGCCUCUGUUUUCUCAUCUGGAAAAUGGAGAUAAUGUGUAAGUUCUAACUUAGAGUUACUGUGGAGCUCAGUGAGAGAAAGUAUGCAAGAGCAUUAUUUAAACUGUAAAAUGCCUUUUUUUAAAAAAAUUUUAUUGGAGUAUACUUGAUUUACAAUGUUAGUUUCAGGUGUACAGCAAAGUUAUGUAAAAUGCUUUAGAAAUAAGCAGUAUUAGAUCAUAUUGUGGAUGGAAUUAUAAGCUCUAGAAAAUUUUAUCCAGAAAUCACUUCUAAGGCAAGGUACAUAAAUUUUUUUUUUUUAAAUCAAUUGAUAUCUCUUCUAGUUUGGCUAAUAUCAAGUGAAUGCUGCAUAAUGUUUUUCUCCAUUUAAGGCAAUUACCAAAACCCCUAAAUUGCAUUUAAAAAAUAGAUUCUAAAGCAGUAAACGUAGGGGUGGAAUUGAGUCCAGUUUGAAAUCUGGUGCUUUGCAGGUGAUGGGGGUCUGCCUGUGGAAUAGAAAUGGUGGCCCAGGUCUUGGUCCUGGUCUCUCGCCAUGGUUGGUGCCUGACAGAUGGCUGCCACUUUUGGGUGGGGUCUCUGAGCCUUGGUUUCUUCUGUUGUAAAAUGGGGAUAAAACCCACUUAUCAGGCUCACUGACUGCCUUACGGUUGUUAGCUCAACGGGAAACUGGCGUGAAAGCAUCGUACAGCCCCAGUGAGAGCUGGCAUUGGAGCUGGGAGCAGGGUUCCAUUUUAAAGCAGGGAUCACUUUUUCUCCGAUAAGCUUUUGUUCUCUUCUCCGUCCAGAGGAUGAGCACUGCGGAUCAGAAAGUCCUAAUCUCAAAAAUUACUCAUGUGGGCCAUCUGUUCUGAGACAGUAUCACCUGGAGGGCUGUCAGCAAGGACUAGCGGGGCCCAGCAUUUCUGCUUCCAUUGGUGUGGCAAGGGGCCUGAGAACUUGUAUUUCUCGCGAGUUCCCAGGACGUGCUGAUGCCCCGGGACCACACUUUGAGAACCACUGAGCCAUACAAAGGAAGUCCCGUUCCGCCCCCCACCCCGAGCCCUUUCAUCCACUACACCAGUGUCCACCCGUGUUCCCCCGGUGCUGUGCCUCUUAGCACAUUCAGUCCUAGGAACCGAAUGACGUAGAGCUGCAGUCCCAUUUUACAUAGGAGGAAACUGAGGCUGAGAGAGGGCAGUGAUGUGCCAGAGGUCAGCUAGCCGAUGCUGGGACCAGGACUUGCGCUCCGGGAGGCUGAGCUCUUACCCAGAGAAGGAGAAGGUGAGGCCUGGGCAGCCAGCCCCUGGAGUCAGCAGAGGAGCUGGUGUGCGGGCCCUGGGAGCGUGUCCCCCUCUACCGUUUGUGGGGUCCUUUAGUUACGAUCAUCAGUAAAUAAAAACCCAUCAUGGACCAGCUGCCCGUACUGCACCUGUGCAGAAUGGGGUGAGGGGCUCUUGGGAUUUGUGUUGUGAAGGGAACUUGGCUGAGAUGGAGCAUAUCCUGUGAAAGGUGGACCCUCUGGCCUGUGAGUGAUGCAGAGUGGCAGGUUGGAGGAUGUCGAGGAGAGACCUGCUCUACCCCCACCCCCACCCCGGAGAUUGUGCCCAGCGUCAGCCAUGCCUUAAAGAGUGGAACAAAACUGUCCUCCUGCUGCACCAAGUGGUUCCCCGUCCCUAAUUCCUAAGUGGAGACAGCGUGUUUUGUCGCAGAAAGAAGCAAGAGUUUUGUUGCUGUCCAGAACCCACUUGCUGUUUGCACACAAGCCAGUCAUGUCCCGAGGUGGCCUGCAGGUGGAGCCAGUGCGCGCCGCCAGCCUGUCGUCGCCAGGCUUCCUGUGGGCACUGAGCACAGAUGUGGGACUGCUUGGAGCUGUGCUGGGCACGGGGCGGGGGGGUGCGGGGGGGCACCCUGUUCAGAACAGCGCUCGGGCGGUGCCAACAGAAGAGGCGUCUGUCUACAGAAGCAGAGAGGGCCUCGAACUCACCCGCGGGCAGGAGCAGCCAGUUUCCAGACGGAGCUCCAAGGAGGCCCUUUAUCCUGAGGUCCACGCAUCCCGCCCAUCCGUGCUUCGUCAGUGUUCUUCAGAGUGGCCUGUGGAGGACCCUAAAGGCAGAGGGAGGAGAACACGGUCCCAGCAUCUGAAGGGGUAACUUUCAACCAUGUGUUUCAGCCACCAGGGAGCCUCCGGAGGAGGCAUGUGUUUCUUGCUUGUCACUGUAUUAAUAUAUCCCGGGGUGUGUGCGCCCCAGUCGAGCUGUGCGGCACCUGUAAGAUGAUUGAUCAUAAAUUGCAGGUUUGGGACUUCCCUGGUGGCACAGUGGUUGAGAGUCCGCCUGCCAAUGCAGGGGACAUGGGUUCGAGCCCUGGUCCGGGAAGAUCCCACAUGCUGCGGAGCAACUAAGCCCGUGCGCCACAACUACUGAGCCUGCGCUCUAGAGCCCACAAGCCACAACUACUGAAGCCCGCGUGCCUAGAGCCCGUGCUCUGCAACAAGAGUAGCCACCGCAAUGAGAGGCCCAUGCACCGCAACUAGAGAAAGCCUAUGUGCGGCAACAAAGACCCAACAUAGCCAAAAAUAAAUAAAUAAUUAAUUAAUUUUUUUAAAAAUUUCAGAAAUAAAAAGCAGAGGACUUUCU
ensembl:lncRNA